CAGUCGCCGCGGGAAUACGAAGGGGGCUAGCGUUGUUCGGAAUCACUGGGCGUAAAGCGCACGUAGGCGGACUUUUAAGUCAGGGGUGAAAUCCCAAGGCUCAACCUUGGAACUGCCUUUGAUACUGGAAGUCUUGAGUUCGGGAGAGGUGAGUGGAACUGCGAGUGUAGAGGUGAAAUUCGUAGAUAUUCGCAAGAACACCAGUGGCGAAGGCGGCUCACUGGCCCGAUACUGACGCUGAGGUGCGAAAGCGUGGGGAGCAAACAGGAUUAGAUACCCCUGUAGUCCCUGUCUCUUAUAC
rnacentral:rRNA from 1 species